rnacentral:ribozyme from 1 species
CAAAACAGCAUGCAAAUGUACAUGCAGAAAACAAACAGAAAACAAACAGAAAAUAAACGAAAAUAAAAGAAAUAUAAGAAUAAGGUCACAAAGAAGCAAAGGUCUUGC